UCUAUCUGUGUGUGUGUGUGUGUGUGUGUGUGUGUGUUGUUAUCCCUCUCUCAGAUCUGCAUUACAGUGCUGGUGUACUUGAGCUGCAUCUUUGAAAGUGAGCACUCGUGCAGUAGUCUAAUACAUAGUGCAAUGCAGUAUUUCCAUGUCGCAGAAACAUGCUGUAAGGUCAGACGUGUUGUCCUCCUACCCCCAACUUCCUGUCCUCAUCCCAAAACUUUGUUUGGCCUAUAUUCCGUCAUUGGCCCUUGUCUUGCUGUAAAGUACUGGAGUACUUCAGCUACAUCUUUGGAAGUGAACACUUGUGCAUAGACGGUACUGAGUACUAUGCAGAGGCCUGGAAGAAGUUACAUGGUCAACCCAAACAUAGGUUGUCAGCUGUUGGCUCAACAACAAAGCAGAAAGACAUAGUGGACCACUGGCUAGCCACACCACAUGAUAGUCACAGAGUCUUCUAGAUUGCAAGACUGGUUUACCCAUUGCUUCUGUGACAAGAUGGGUCUUGUGUUCCUGUGAUCGGACAGCUCAACAAUGCAUCAUUCUAACUGACACCAGAUGGAUUGAUCUUUUCUGCUGAUCAGAUGGGUUUUCAGAUUGUCCGUCUGGCCACAGGGGGACCACUACACUGGCAAUGGCUUGGGUUUGCCUUAGGGUCCGCCAACCAUAGAGGUUUCUGCCCAAAUCAACCAGCGGUCAACAGGUGCUGCUGGCCAGAGGAUCUAAAUUUUUGUCAUGAUAACCUGUUUUUUUUUGUAAAUAACACUAUAGAUUAUGGAUUAUUCCAAGGAAGACACACACUGAUCAAUACAUACUUAUCUUAAGGGACACAAAGAUAGGAAGGACUCCAUCCACUAAUAUUGGACAUACAGUAUGGUGUCAUUGUCUUGUGUAUCCAUCCAAUGCAAAGCUAGAUUAAUAUGCAAUACUUGCAAUAAUUUGUUAUGCCAUGUGAAAUGAUUUGGUUAAAGUUAAAAACCACACUCGUAUGCAUUAGCUCUUGCAAAAAUAUUUAAUGGAGCAUGUCUACAACAGACCUGUAUGGGCCCUAGGCCAUGCUGGGGCCGAUACGCUGAUGAUGGCCUAGAGCCGAAACGUGUCCGUUUGUAGACAUGGCUUUAAAAAAAAAAUGUUUUCAUGUCUUUCUUAGAACUCACACCCAAAGAGGUCUUUUAUUUUUUUGGAGUUGAGCAUGCCUGUUCCUGUGUAUCUUUUUGUUUUUUUGGUGCCUUUGCUCACGCUACCAUGUAUUAGGUUUGUGUAGUGCUGAAUGUAUUAGUGAAGCUGAACACCUUUGCUGUGAUUUAUCUGUAUGGAAGAAUCCCCUGGUUAAAGAAAUCACACCUUUUACCUUUGACCUUGAUACAUAAAUGUAUGUUGUGCUGAAAUAAAGCAAUUUCAC